rnacentral:rRNA from 1 species
UACGGAGGGUGCAAGCGUUAUCCGGAUUCACUGGGUUUAAAGGGUGCGUAGGCGGUUAUUUAAGUCAGUGGUGAAAGCUCGCAGCUCAACUGUGAAACUGCCAUUGAAACUGAGUAACUUGAGUACGAUUGAUGUGGGCGGAAUGUAUCAUGUAGCGGUGAAAUGCUUAGAUAUGAUAUAGAACACCGAUUGCGAAGGCAGCUCACAAAAUCGCAACUGACGCUGAGGCACGAAAGCGUGGGGAGCAAACAGG